UACGAAGGGUGCAAGCGUUAUCCGGAUUCACUGGGUUUAAAGGGAGUGUAGGUGGGUUGGUAAGUCAGUGGUGAAAUCUCCGAGCUUAAUUUGGAAACUGCCAUUGAUACUAUUAGUCUUGAAUAUUGUGGAGGUCAGCGGAAUAUGUCAUGUAGCGGUGAAAUGCUUAGAGAUGACAUAGAACAUCAAUUGCGAAGGCAGUUGGCUAUGCAUAUAUUGACACUGAGGUUCGAAAGCGUGGGGAUCAAACAGG
rnacentral:rRNA from 1 species